CUCCUUCCGGUAGAACGCGGGAGACCUACCAAAUAGCGCAGCUGUAGCCUCUACUCUCUAGAGGGUGGCGAAGGCGGAGCUGACCUGACCGGCUGACCCGCCCAACCCAACAACCUCUCCGCUGGCCAUCUUCCUCCCGGGAUCCCUCUCCCUCCUUCGAUCCAGCUCAGCUCUCUUCCUCCCGCCCCGUACUCUUCUUGAUCCGUUCACUCAUACUUCUCGAGAGAAAAGGAAGAGGAUUCGAUCUGUUGCUACCGCUAGCUGCGGUACUAACAGCAGCAGCAGCAACAGGAGGUACCGUAGAAGAAGGGAAGGGAAUCCAUGAAGAGAUGGGGCAGCAGCGGACAGGCCGCCGAUUCCUUCUACCAGGUCCGCCCCGAUUGCAGCCAAAACGUCCCCAACACCAAGUUCAAGAUCAAGGCGGGGAAGACACUGAGCGUUAGGAAAUGGCAUGCUGCGUUCACGCGUGAUGGAUGCCUGGAUAUCGCCUCUGUUCUGAGCCGCAUACAGAGAGGGGGUGUGCACCCCACGAUCAGGGGAGAGGUUUGGGAGUUCUUGCUCGGCUGCUUUGACCCUGGGAGCACCUUCGAUGAGAGGGACCAGAUUAGGGAGCGGAGAAGGAUGCAGUAUGCCAGAUGGAAGGAAGAAUGCAAAGAGAUGGAUUCUCAUGUCGGCAGUGGUAAAAUCAUCACCGCCCCGAUUAUAACUGAGGAUGGAUUCCCUAUUAAGGAUCCGUUGGUAUUACUUGAGGCUACUUCAGACACGCAAGGUACUUCAAUCGCCACCGGCAACAGUGGAAAUGGAAUUGAGAACCGUGUCUUGGAUAAACAAAUUAUUGACUGGAAGCUUACCUUACAUCAAAUAGGCCUUGAUGUUCUGCGCACUGACCGCACCAUGGUAUUUUAUGAGAACAAAGAUAACAUUUCAAAGUUGUGGGAUAUUCUUGCUGUCUAUGCAUGGAUCGACAAAGAAGUUGGUUAUUGUCAAGGAAUGAGUGAUUUAUGUUCACCCAUGAUAGUGCUACUCCACAAUGAAGCAGAUGCAUUUUGGUGCUUUGAGAGAUUGAUGCGUAGACUGCGAGGUAAUUUCAGAUGCACACAACAGUCUGUUGGGGUGGAAAACCAGCUUCAGCAUCUUGCUUCUAUCAUUCAGGUGCUUGAUCCAAAGUUACAUGGCCACCUAGAAAGACUUGGCGGGGGUGACUAUCUCUUCGCAUUCCGCAUGUUCAUGGUAUUGUUCCGGCGAGAACUAUCAUUUGGGGACUCCUUGUACCUUUGGGAGUUUCUCCUUCAGAAUGGCACCAUCUGCAUAUUCAUCAAACCAUAUUUGAGGCAAAAUAUGCUAGCAAGCAUACAAAAAAGGCACGUGGAUACAAGAAAUUGUGGAAAACCUGCUUUUGUAUCAACAACACUACAACAGCAAGCCUCAAUACUGCAAAGAGUGCAUAGAUUCCAUCCAACUGCUGUGUUGUCUUGCUGAUGCAUGGGUGCGGACGGGGUUGCUGGCGGUCUGGAAGGAGUCCAUGCUGUAGAACUGGGCAGGAAGUCAACCAGCAAACUUGUGCAUUGGUGACCCAUUAUUCCACAUGCGAAUCAUACAGGAAGCUGUUUGUUGUUGUAUUAAUAGGUAGAAAAAACAACGGUUUGAGUACAUGUCAAUCCCACUGCUUGCCCUCCAAGCCAUGCACUUAUGAUGUGGGCUCUCGAAUAUGAUCCUGGCAUUUGCUCCACUUAUGAAGAGGAUAAUACUGGGGCUGUGGUCCACAAAAUUGAAGGAAAGGUAAAAUCAAUACGUCAGUUUGGUAAGUACGAGAGGGAGAAUAUGAAGAAGAGGGCAAACGAUGGUGAUGGACCUGUCCCUAUUUCGGUCUUCCUGGUUGCUAGUGUCCUAAAAGAGAACAGUACAAAGCUUCUGCAAGAGGCUCGAGGGAUUGAUGACAUUAUUAGGAUAUUGAAUAAUGUUAAUGGAAAUCUGGACGCCAAAAGAGCUUGCGUUGUUGCACUAAAGCUUCAUAGGAAGUAUCACAAAAAGUUGCAGGAAAAGAAAUCCUAACAUCAUAUGGCGAGAUUGCACGCAACACAACACUGGGACUUAUAUAUUGCUUGUUUCUGUUCCUUUCAUUUUCCCACUCACUGUAUCGGAGGAAGAAGGUGGUUUACAUAUACAGUCGCGGGCGAGACCUCAUAAAUAUAAGUGACUUAUUGUAUCUACAAUAUCAAUGAUCCACGUCCACAGCCUACUCAAUUGUGAACAUCAACCUAGUACAUGAUAAUUUAUUCACGAUCACAAUGGACUUGGCAAAUAUUAUCCCAUCAGUAUUUGUCAUGAACCUCAGUCUACUCUCGUAUCAUCUUAGGUUUUUGGAUCCCUUCGUUUUGAAGGAACUGAAAUUUACUUAAUGGAGUAGGUUACUUGGUUUACAUUCUA